UAGCCUAACGGCUGAACCAGCAACUUGGAGGAAUGUAUAGCAAUAGCUAAUUGCAUCAAUGUUUAAAUAAUUGAUGCAAUAUCGACUCUGUCGAAUAAAAUUCUAGGUAGAAUUAUGAUAAUGACAUUGUCUGCCUAUGUGUCUUGACCAAAUUACGUGCCAGCAGUCGCGGUAAUACGUAGAAGACUAGUGUUAUUCAUCUUUAAUAGGUUUAAAGGGUACCUAGACGGUAUAUCAAGCCUGCAAUAUGGGACUAAUGUACUAGAGUUACUUACGAGGGGGUAUUAAAGUACUGCUGGUGGAGAGAUGAAAUUCUGUCAUACCUCGUUUCACUAGAAAUACUAUGGCACUGGUAUAGGCGAAAGCAUCCCCUUAUGUGAUAACUGACGUUGAAGGACGAAGGCUUUGUGUAGCGAACAGGAUUAGAUACCCCAGUAGUCAAAGCAGAAAAUGAUGAAUGUCAUAGAUUAGACAUAUAAUAGUUUAUUCUAUAAAUGAAAGUGUAAGCAUUCCACCUCAAGAGUAAUUUGGCAACAUUGGAACUGAAAUCAUUAGACCGUUUCUGAAACCAGUAGUGAAGUAUGUUGUUUAAUUUGAUAACCCGCAAAAAACCUUACCACAAUUUGAAUAUUUAGAUUUAUAUUUUCCUUUUUCUCUUUUUGUCUUUGUGUUGCGUUACCUUGCGUUGCAAAGCAUCAGUGAGUGCCAGCAUCAAAAAUAAAAAUAGCAAGAAGGGAAGAAAAAUCCAUUUACAAGCGUUGCACGGCUGUCUUCAGUUAAUGUCGCGAGAUUAUGGUUAGUUCCAUUAAUUAACGUAAACCCUUACUUUAUUUUUAUAUAGAGUUGUUCUCCGCUAGAUUGGAUAAGAUAACAGGGACUAAGACAAGUCAUCAUGGCCUAAAUAUUGUGGGCUAUAGACGUGCCACAUAAACCUCACAAAAGGAUGUGAAAUUGUGAAAUUGAGCUAAUCCCCC
rnacentral:rRNA from 1 species